UAAUUUAAGAAGUUUGGAUAUAUAGAGGUGUGAAACGAAAUACCAAUAAAGAAAAUGAAACACGUCACCGACCGUUUCUAGCACAAGUGAUAAAAAAUUUGAUGAUUAGUAUUCGAUCAAAGUCUCAAGUUUAAAUUAUACUUAUUUUAUAAUUUCAGCUAAAUUUAUUUCUAAAGAAACAAAUAAAAUGAAUAGCAUGCUAUCUUUUUCUAAAAGAACAAAUAUGAAACAUGCCGGGCUUAUCAUUUUCCAUACAAUUAAGCUAC
rnacentral:lncRNA from 1 species